AUACACUCUGGUCCAGAAGGAGCGUUAUUACGUUUCACUGUGUACUGCACUUUAUAUGGCUAAAAAAAUGACAACUUGACUUGGUUUGACAGAAACGUCAAAGGAGGUAAGCUUGAUCCUGCAUGAACACUGUCCCCUGCUGGUCGAUCUUCUUCGCAAAGCCCACGUGAAAGGAAUAAAUGAUUGGAGGAUUAAAAUCUACAAGCUCUUGAUUUUUAUUUUUUACAUCAGUGCAUUACCUCAGAUGUCCUGCAGGGUGUCUCCAACAUCCGUCCUCUGUCAGGAGAGCAUCCAUCACUCUCUCACCACCUCUAAUUCUCUCUUCUCGUGGACACACACAAUGUUUUGCAGGCACAUGGUCCUGGUAUGUGAGUGAGAAAGAAGUAAAAAUGUGGUGAAAAAAAGGUACAAGAAGGAAGAGUUCAGGAGCUAAAGCUGUGUAUAAGAGUCAAGAAACGAUAGGAAAAUAUAGACACGUCAAAAUAUUCUUAAGUCCAUUAGGACGAAUGAUUACUGAGCUGUCUGACCACAGGCAAGAGACUAAAAUCCUUCGUCCAGCUUGAAAUGAAAUACACACCAAGGACACCAAGUGCCGAAGGGGAUGUGCAGCACUGAUUAAAGAGGUGGUGGUGGUGGUGUGUGUGUGUGUGUGGCGCUUGGGGUUGACGGGGGCAGUACAAAGUAGGAAAGAGAAAAUAAACAGGUUCAGGUGCUAAAGACAAGAACUCAACCUGUGCUGAAGGAUUAAGGAUGUUACUUGAAAUGCACUCCUGAGCAGCUGUACAAAGCACACUGAAUACUCAGCAAUUUCCCUACAGAUACAGGAAUAAAUACUCAGCAAACAUUCAACAUCACUAGAUGGCCUUUAUUCUAACGUCAACCAAGAUUUUUCACUUGAUAAUUUCCAGUUUUAAGUAAAAUCAACGCCACACCUUCUGUAGUCACACCUGCUUUAUAUUUGCCUUUUUAAAGUGCCUCUUUAAUUCUAUUGAGAUUCUAUAUAGGCAAAAGAUACUGAAUAUUGUGUCAGACACCUGACCAUAAGAUUUAUA